rnacentral:lncRNA from 1 species
GUUUCUUUCAGCAAAUAGGGGGUCCAGAGAACGAAGAGAGAUAUAAGGGUAUAGUGGUCAGUGGAGCAGUCAAAAGAUACACAUCAUCAAUUCAGUUCACUCUUUUAUAUGGAUGUGGGUCAUGGCAUCCCAAAACAAUUUUAUUAGGAACAUCAAAGAUCACUGAUUACAUAUGACCAUUGUGAUGCUUAAUAUUGAAUGUCAAAUUGAUUGGAUUGAAGGAUGCAGAGUAUUGUUCCUGGGUGUGUCUGUGAGGGUGUUGAAAAGGAGAUUAACAUGUGAGUCAGUGGGAUGAGAGAGGCAGACCCACCCUCAAUCUGCGUGGGCACCCUCUAAUCAGCUGCCAAGGUGGCUAGGAUAAAAGGAGGCAGAAGAACGUGGGAGGACGGGACUGGCUGAAUCUUCGGCCUUCGUCUUUCUGCCAUGCUGGAUGCUUCCUGCCCUUGAACAUCAGACUCCAAAUUCUUCAGCUUUUGGACUCGUAGACCUACACCAGUGGUUUGCCAGGGACUCUAGGACCUUCAGCCACAGACUGAAGGCUGCACUGUCGGCUUCCCUACUUUGGAGAUUUUGGGACUCGGACUGUCUGCCUUGCUCCUCAGCUUGCAGAUAACCUAUUGUGGGAUUUACCUUGAGAUCAUAUAGAAACAGUUACUGGAGUUCUGUAGACCAUGUUCCACCUCUGCAUAUUGCAUUUUUUGGAGAGCAGGUAACCUGUAUUAUUAGUUCAUAAGUCUCUGGAUCAAGAAAAGCCAAAUAUAUCCUGAUGUGGGAGACUACUGUGCAUUAACUUCUGAUAGAGAUAACACAUAAUCCAAAGGUAGUGGAUUUUGAGCUAUCUCAUAAAUUGAUAGGGUUUUAAACUCUUUCAUUUAGAUAGAGGAGUUCAUUUUUUGCAUAGAAAGGAAAGAGAACUGAAUAUGUUAUUUGUGGUAGAGGCUUCUAAUGCUUACCUAUAUCUGUAGAUGGCUAUAUGAACAUGUUUCUUAUCAAGCUGCAUGAUCAUAUAACCAUCUACAGAUACCAAGUGAAUGGGACAAAGUAGCCCUUGUUUAUAUUCACCACUUAAAUUUUACUAUUGGUGGCUUCCCUGGUAAUGCCCAGAUAUACAAUUACUGCUGAAAUGGCAAAGUCAUGUCACUCUAACUGUAAGUUGUUUGUAGAAGUAGCAUGAUUAACAGCCUUCCAUUCCUGAGAAAGAACAUUGAGCACACUUUUCCUAUGAAUUAGUGAACCAUGAUAUAUCGUAUGGAAAAAUUAACUUUAGUUAUGUUAAGAUCACACUACCAUACUCUGUCAUUUCAGUUUAACAUAGGGCACCUUGAUAGAUAUCUCAGCAUGAAACAAAUACAACUUAGAUAAAUUAAAACAUACACUUAAUAUACUAAAAGUUUAUACAAAAGUAAAUGAAUAGACAAAGGAACACAAAUAAUUCAGUAAAACUAAAAUCAGAAUAGAAAAUGAACAGGAGACCUAAUGCCAGGAAAUGAUUGCUUUGGGAAAGAACAGCCUUAUGCGGUGGAAGACUGUUUUAAAACUUGCGUGUUCUGAAAUUAAUUAAAGUGAGCUUGAGAAUUCUGCAUUAAUUCCAAAACCCAUCCACCUCUAAAUAAAACAACAAAACAAUAUGUUUUCUUGUCCUCAUAUUAAGUGGAAAAAAAUUAAUAAAACUGGUUAUUCCUAGAAGUUGUUGAAAUAGAUCUCCACUUAUAUGGUUUCUAUUUAAUAUAACAAACACUAUAUGAUAUGGAAAAUUCCCAACAUAAAACUUAAAUCUAAGUAGACUAUGUUAUAUAGAAAUCACUAGUUCCACCAUUUCAAACUCAUUUUAGGAAAACAAACAAUAGCAACACUAAGGAUUGUGAACACUGGGAUUAUCAGAUAUGGAACAUAAAAUUACCUAAUAACUGAAAUUAUAAACCCAAUGAAUGAAUUGAUAAAACAAUAGAUUAGAUCAGGCUGAACAUGAAAGUAGUAAAAUGGAAAAUAUAUGUUAAGAAAUCGAAUACAUAGAAAAUACAUAGAAAUAAACAAUAUGUUGAUAGGCAUGAGUGGAGUUAAUGUUAGUAGUCAAGAUUUCUAACAUAAAUAUAACUGGAAUUACAUAAAAAUAAUAAAAAAGUGCCAGGCGAGGUGGCUUACCCCUGUAAUUCCAACACUUUGGGAGGCCGAGGUAGGCAGAUCACGAAGUCAAG